GACGAACGCUGGCGGCGUGCUUAAUACAUGCAAGUCGAACGGAAGGGCCAUGCUUUUGCGGGGUGCUUGAGUGGCGAACGGGUGAGUAACACGUGUGUAACCUGCCCUUGACUUUGUGAUAAAUUUUUGAAACUGGGGCUAAUACACGAUAGGAGCUUCUGCUCCACAGUGGGGAUUGGUAAGUUUCGGCGGUUGGGGCUGGAAUCGAGGCUUAUCAGCUUGUUGGUGGGGUAGUGGAUUACAAAGGCUUUGACGGAUAGGCUGCCUGAGAGUGUGGCCAGCCUCAUGGGUACUGAGGUACGGCGCAGAAUCCUACGGGAGGCAGUAGUGGGGAAUAUUACACAAUGGGCGCGAGCCUGAGGCAGCGACGCCGGGUGCGUAAAGACCGCCUACGGGGUGAAAACCUCUUUCGCCUGGGACGAAGCGGGAUUGACGGUAACGGAUAAAGAAGCACCGGCUAACUACGUG
rnacentral:rRNA from 1 species